rnacentral:rRNA from 1 species
CUGUCUGAAUAUGGGGGGACCAUCCUCCAAGGCUAAAUACUCCUGACUGACCGAUAGUGAACCAGUACCGUGAGGGAAAGGCGAAAAGAACCCCGGCGAGGGGAGUGAAAAAGAACCUGAAACCGUGUACGUACAAGCAGUGGGAGCACAGGUUUACCUGUGUGACUGCGUACCUUUUGUAUAAUGGGUCAGCGACUUAUAUUCUGUAGCAAGGUUAACCGMAUAGGGGAGCCGSAGGGAAACCGAGUCUUAAUUGGGCGUUAAGUUGCAGGGUAUAGACCCGAAACCCGGUGAUCUAGCCAUGGGCAGGUUGAAGGUUGGGUAACACUAACUGGAGGACCGAACCGACUAAUGUUGAAAAAUUAGCGGAUGACCUGUGGCUGGGGGUGAAAGGCCAAUCAAAC